rnacentral:rRNA from 1 species
GACGAACGCUGGCGGCGUGCCUAAUACAUGCAAGUUGAGCGAUGAAGAUUGGAGCUUGCACCCAUUUGAAGAGCAGCGAACGGGUGAGUAACGCGUGGGGAAUCUGCCUUUGAGCGGGGGACAACAUUUGGAAACGAAUGCUAAUACCGCAUAACAACUUUAAACAUAAGUUUUAAGUUUGAAAGAUGCAAUUGCAUCACUCAAAGAUGAUCCCGCGUUGUAUUAGCUAGUUGGUGAGGUAAAGGCUCACCAAGGCGAUGAUACAUAGCCGACCUGAGAGGGUGAUCGGCCACAUUGGGACUGAGACACGGCCCAAACUCCUACGGGAGGCAGCAGUAGGGAAUCUUCGGCAAUGGACGAAAGGCUGAACGAGCAACGCCGCGUGAGUGAAGAAGGGUUUCGGAUCGUAAAACUCUGUUGGUAGAGAAGAACGUUGGUGAGAGUGGAAAGCUCAUCAAGUGACGGUAACUACCCAGAAAGGGACGGCUAACUACGUG